rnacentral:misc_RNA from 1 species
AAGUCGUAACAAGGUAACCGUAGGUGAACCUGCGGUUGGAUCAUUAAUAUAUUUUCUUAUUUUUCCCUAGGCCUUUUCUUUACGGGAAAGUCCAAGGGAAGAAUUAACCCCAAUUGUGAACCAUUUAUUGUAUUUUUGGGUCAAGGUGGUGGUAAAAAACCAGUAAAAACUUGAAAAAAAACCUUACCCAUCUUUAUUUAAGCACUAGUAGAAUAAACUUGUCUUUAAAAACAACUUUUUUUAUAAAGUUAUAUUUAUAUAAUAAAAAAAAAAAACAACUUUUGACAACGGAUCUCUAGGCUCUC